rnacentral:rRNA from 1 species
UACAGAGGGUGCAAGCGUUGUUCGGAAUUAUUGGGCGUAAAGCGCGUGUAGGCGGCUUGGUAAGUCAGAUGUGAAAGCCCUCGGCUUAACCGAGGAAGUGCGUCUGAAACUGUCGAGCUUGAGUACCGGAGAGGAUGGCGGAAUUCUGCAAGUAGAGGUGAAAAUUCGUAGAUAUGCAGAGGAACACCGGUGGCGAAGGCGGCCAUCUGGACGGUAACUGACGCUGAGACGCGAAAACGUGGGGAGCAAACAGG